GAGAGCCCGGUGCGGUGAGAAUCGCACGCCGGGUUCGGCGGGCGGCCCGGGGAAACGGACCCCGAGCAAUCCGGGC
rfam:Tetrasphaera jenkinsii Ben 74 genomic scaffold, 1541_scaffold1